UCAUCAUUAUAGUGAUAACAAGAACAAUAUGAUGGAGAAUGAGCUGUUCCCUGACCAGUGAGAAAAAUGUGACUUUCAGAUUCCACAGUCACACGGAUGAAACAUGGAGGGACCAGAAUGUGAAUCCUGAUCUGUUUCCACUCUCAUUCACUACAACAGGCUUGAGGUGCUGCUGCUGAGCCGGGAGAAUAGAAGCGUCCAAGUCAGUGCCUUCAGAGAUCCAGCUGACUUCAAGAGGGCUGAGGUCCACCCAGGGCCACCAGCAUCAGGAAGGAGACAGCUUUGCAGUGACUCCACCCGCUAUGUGCUGGGAGGCAUUGGCUGACUCCAAAGCACACAGCAAUUUCGGCUUGGCCCACGGCAGCAAACAGCUGUGCCAAUGCCCAUCCUAACGAGAAUAACGCAAGGCUUAGCCUGUAAUCCACCCCUCUGCAGAAACCAAUCAUUCCUCCUCAUUACCGAGCGAAGAAAUGCCUCUCAAGGCUCCUUUUCCUCCUUACAAACAAAAUAAAACAAAUCCUUCCUAUGGAUUUCAUUUGCCAUUUAAUGCAACCUAAUGAUUUCCAAUUGAAACCAUAUUUGUAUUUGUAUUGACUUAUUAAUAGCACAUCCAUUUUCCACACAAUAAAGCCUGAACAUACACUGAGGACUUUGACCAAAAUGCAUUAGGUAGCAUUAAAGAUUAAAUAAACACUGUUUCUAUGAAUAAUGUUUAAUGUCACCUAUUAGUCCAUUGAAAAUUGAUCUCUGGGUACUUCAAGCUGGGGUUCCAAGGAGUACAUUUUGAACAUAUUAUGAGUAAUGACUAUGCAUUAGGACAUGAAAUGGAUUCCAGGCCCUCAGUAGAGCUUGCUACUUUACUAUAUUCUGGUUAAUUUGCACAAAUAGUUGCAAUGUCAAUGGCAAAACCCAAGCACCAAACUGCAAUACAUGCCUGAUUCCGAAAAGCAACAUAGAAAUGGCUUAAAAGAAAAAUGAGAAACAUGUUUUGUUUUUUUUUCCCUUCCUCUGAGAACAGUGGUAGUAUUUGCUUACUUUCAUGUUUAUUGAUCUUUGAUGUUUCUCCUUAAAUUUUGGUAGACUGUGUUCCACACUAGAGUUCAGACAUGAUUUCCUAGCCGGACGCGGUGGCUCACGCCUGUAAUCCCAGCACUUUGGGAGGCCGAGGCGGGCGGAUCACGAGGUCAGGAGAUCGAGACCAUCUGGGUUAACACGGUGAAACCCCGUCUCUACUAAAAAUACAAAAAAAUUAGCCAGGCACAGUGGCAGGUGCCUGUAGUCCCAGCUACUCGGGAGGCUGAGGCAGGAGAAUGGCGUGAACCCAGGAGGCAGAGCUUGCAGUGAGUGGAGAUCGUGCCACUGCACUCCAGCCUGGGUGAUAAAGUGAGACUCUGUCUCAAAAAAAAAAAAAAAAAAAAAAAAUGAGUUCCCUUCUGCUCUGCCACAAGCUAAGGUGUGAGCUCCUCUCAGCUCUCUCCACUUAAAAAAGGAAAUCGUUGGGACACAGGCUCUGAAAGCUCUGGCAUUUCCUGACUCUGUGAUUUCACCAGAUAUAAAUCCCAUAAGGAAAAAGAUGGUGUCCUCUUUGACUUUGUGUCCCAAUUGCCCCAGCACAGUAUCAGACACCCAAAAAAGGCCUGGGUAAGAGGAAGGCUAGACUUUCAGAAAUGUGUUGAGAAGUCAGAUGUUCCUGGUAGACACGGCUUCAUUAGGCCAAGAGUCAUCAUUAUAAUGAUAACAAUUACUGUUUAUUGAGUACCUUCUAUGAGCAGGCGAG
rnacentral:lncRNA from 1 species